UUGGCGUGUGGCUUCGUUUGCAGAUCGUC
rnacentral:piRNA from 1 species